rnacentral:tRNA from 1 species
AUUAAUUUGGCAGAAAAAUGCAUAAGAUUUAGAAUCUUUCAAUACAA